rnacentral:lncRNA from 1 species
AGGGUUCUUGCGAUCUUUGUCGCACGUGAUGUUGAGAGUUGAUCUUGGGGUAGAAAUGAAAGUUAGUUAUUAAGUUACAGACUUACAGAGAACCUGAAUCAAAUGAUUGAUGAUUGUUGAAUUGUUUAAGAUAUUUUUAUAAUGUGUUGAAAAUGAAUGAUAUGGAAAUUAUUAUUGUUUAUAUCAUUCAAGUUGUUAUUGUUGAUGUUGCUAUGUUGCAAGAUGUUUAUGUUUCUAUCUCUGUUGUUGUUGAAUCAUUAUUGUCAUUAAGUUGCAAGUGUUGGUCUAAGUUGU